UACGUAGGGUGCAAGCGUUGUCCGGAAUUAUUGGGCGUAAAGAGCUCGUAGGCGGUUUGUCGCGUCGACUGUGAAAACCCGAGGCUUAACCUCGGGCCUGCAGUCGAUGCGGGCAGACUAGAGUUCGGUAGGGGAGACUGGAAUUCCUGGUGUAGCGGUGAAAUGCGCAGAUAUCAGGAGGAACACCGGUGGCGAAGGCGGGUCUCUGGGCCGAUACUGACGCUGAGGUGCGAAAGCGUGGGGAGCAAACAGG
rnacentral:rRNA from 1 species